rnacentral:rRNA from 1 species
GAGAGCGGCGUACGGGUGCGGAACACGUGUGCAACCUGCCUUUAUCAGGGGGAUAGCCUUUCGAAAGGAAGAUUAAUACCCCAUAAUAUAUUAUUCGGCAUCGGGUGAUAUUGAAAACUACGGUGGAUAGAGAUGGGCACGCGCAAGAUUAGCUAGUUGGUGAGGUAACGGCUCACCAAGGCGACGAUCUUUAGGGGGCCUGAGAGGGUGAUCCCCCACACUGGUACUGAGACACGGACCAGACUCCUACGGGAGGCAGCAGUGAGGAAUAUUGGACAAUGGGUGGAAGCCUGAUCCAGCCAUCCCGCGUGCAGGAAGACGGCCCUAUGGGUUGUAAACUGCUUUUAUCUGGGGAUAAACCUACUUACGUGUAAGUAGCUGAAGGUACCAGAAGAAUAAGCACCGGCUAACUCCGUGCCAGCAGCCGCGGUAAUACGGAGGGUGCAAGCGUUAUCCGGAUUUAUUGGGUUUAAAGGGCCCGUAGGCGG